AUUGAACGCUGGCGGCGUGCUUAACACAUGCAAGUCGAUCGGUAACAGGUGUAGCAAUACAUGCUGACGAGAGGCGGACGGGUGAGUAAUGCUUGGGAAUCUGCCUAUUAGUGGGGGACAACCCGGGGAAACUCGGGCUAAUACCGCAUACGCUCUACGGAGGAAAGCCGGGGACCGCAAGGCCUGGCGCUAAUAGAUGAGCCCAAGUCGGAUUAGCUAGUUGGUAGGGAACGGCCUACCAAGGCGACAAUCCGUAGCUGGUCUGAGAGGACGACCAGCCACACCGGAACUGAGACACGGUCCGGACUCCUACGGGAGGCAGCAGUGGGGAAUAUUGGACAAUGGGGGCAACCCUGAUCCAGCGACGCCGCGUGGGUGAAGAAGGCCUGCGGGUUGUAAAGCCCUUUCGGUGGGGAAGAAAAGUCUCGACCUAAUACGUCGGGACCUUGACGUAACCACUAAAGAAGCACCGCUAACUCUGUGCCAGCAGCCGCUGUAA
rnacentral:rRNA from 1 species